rnacentral:lncRNA from 1 species
GGAAUGUCACAUUCAUUCAUGGAUGCUGCACACAUUUAUUGACUACUUACUGUCAGGUUCUGACCAUUAUGGAAUAUUCUUCUACAACUGAGAAAGUGAAGCUGCUGAAUGCAGUCUUUCCCUUAUUGGCACAACAUCAAUCUAAAGUCGAGAUGAAGCCACAGAUGUGGGAUGCAGGAUAUUGA